rnacentral:lncRNA from 1 species
UAGGAUUUGAGUGCACCUCACGUUCAGGCCACCACGUGAGAGUGAGACUCAGCCAACGCCAAGGAACGGCUGUGUUGUCAGAGGUGAAAUGUGUUUGUGUGUGUGACAAUAAACAGCCUUGGCGGUCUCGGUAAGAUGCCUUCGCGGGGUAUCUCCGAGAAUAGAUUUUUGGCAAGGGCCAAGUUUUUGAAAAGUGCAUAAGCCAUGUUGAGUAAUUGAAUGAAAUCCAAUUAUUUAUAUGGGUUGGGAUGAAUUAUUUUAAUUGUCUCCUAUUACUCGGCUUUAGAUUAUUUUGAUGAUGUCUGUCUACUCACUGGGAUUAUGUAAUCAUAAUCUCACCCCUUUUCUUAUCCAUUUUUCAAGCUCAGGACAAUUUAUUGAUAGUUGAUUAAGACGAGAAUUAAUCUCGGAGUUGCAUCCUAGAAAGUAAGGGUUCAUAACCCUACAUCUUCUUAGUCAGUUGGGGGCUCACGUGUCACUGUAAAAGUAAUUUUAUUCUUCAGUUAUUUGAUUUAAAGUAUGUAUGAAUAUAUUUAGCUUUUACACCAUGUUUUUGGCGAGUUUCGAUAUUUUCGAAGAAAAAUGAUGAAAAUGCCCCUGUGAGCCAGAAAGUAAUAUUUUAUUGUUUUGAUUUGGAAAUGACUUAUGAUUUUUUUGAAAUGUGAGAUUU